rnacentral:rRNA from 1 species
UAAGGAAUAUUGGUCAAUGGACGCAAGUCUGAACCAGCCAUGCCGCGUGAAGGAUGAAGGUCCUCUGGAUUGUAAACUUCUUUUAUCUGGGACGAAAACGGGAUUUUUAUCUCAAUUGACGGUACCAGAGGAAUAAGCACCGGCUAACUCCGUGCCAGCAGCCGCGGUAAUACGGAGGGUGCGAGCGUUAUCCGGAUUUACUGGGUUUAAAGGGUGCGUAGGUGGGCUUAUAAGUCAGUGGUGAAAUCUCCGAGCUUAACUUGGAAACUGCCGUUGAUACUAUAGGUCUUGAAUUAUCUGGAGGUAAGCGGAAUAUGCCAUGUAGCGGUGAAAUGCUUAGAUAUGACAUAGAACACCAAUUGCGAAGGCAGCUUACUACAUAUAAAUUGACGCUGAGGCACGAAAGCGUGGGGAUCAAACA